rnacentral:rRNA from 1 species
CUACGGAGGAUGCGAGCGUUAUCCGGAUUUAUUGGGUUUAAAGGGAGCGUAGGUGGGAUAUUAAGUCAGCUGUGAAAGUUUGGGGCUCAACCCUAAAAUUGCAGUUGAUACUGGUUUCCUUGAGUACGGUACAGGUGGGCGGAAUUCGUGGUGUAGCGGUGAAAUGCUUAGAUAUCACGAAGAACUCCGAUCGCGAAGGCAGCUCACCGGGCCGGAACUGACACUGAUGCUCGAAAGUGCGGGUAUCAAACAGGAUUAGAUACCCUGGUAGUCCACACAGUAAACGAUGAAUACUCGCUGUUUGCGAUAUACAGUAAGCGGCCAAGCGAAAGCAUUAAGUAUUCCACCUGGGGAGUACGCCGGCAACGGUGAAACUUAAAUGAAUUGGCGGGG